ensembl:lncRNA
AGAUGUCUUCGCUGGACUGCAGCUGCCUGGCAAAGCCCAGCUGAUCAGGUUCCUGCUAUUAUUUCUGCAGGAAUCUGUGCCCUAAAGAGCAAUUCCAAGGCAAGCCUCCAGGCUGGAUCCUGGCCAGGCUUCAUGUUGCAGUGUUAAAGGGGCAAGUUCAGUUCAGGGUGGGGACCUUUUUGCUUUGCUCUGUGUUUAAAUCUGGAGUAUUUUGCACUGCACAACUGUUUGAACCCCCAGGCAUGCUGCAAUGAGAAAAGGAUGAAAUAGAGGAAGGCAGCGGAGAAGUAACAGAAAUUCAGCAGUAAAGUAGCAGAUGGGUUCCAGCAGAGUUCUGCUUUGAUUUAUGUCCAGCCAAGCACAUCAGGCCCAGGUUUGGGGCCCGGAGGAGUCCAAACCAGAAGCUGUCUGAGGAGCUCCUCACCAAGAGAGGAGCAGCUGAAUCACCAGCUCUUCGUGGAUAUUCACAAAGGCGGUGGAGGCUGCGGUGAGGACAGAACAUAAAGCAGAUCUACAGAUGCACAGAGCUCCCUUUCAGAAGCCUUUCAUCUAUCAUAUGAUACUUUCUGGUUAAGUGAUCACCUCUGAUUUGUUGAAUCAGAGUCUUAAUCAUGUCCUUGGCAUCAAGCAAAGGAACUGCUAGCAAUAUUAACAGGGUUAUUCAGGACUGGGGGUGGAAGUCCCCGCUGUUUAAAGCAAGAGUUAGACAGUAUUACCACAUGAUCCCCUCACUCAGACUCUUUGAAGUGUUAUGAAAACAUUUUUAAAGCAAUAUUUGCCACAGGGUAGUCACUCACAUUAUAUCAGUCUUACCCCUCCUCUUUUCAUCUGUGAGCACCUCAUUACCAGUGGAUAAUACUGAUGCUGAAAUACCACUUUCCCUUGGGAACAAAACAAUAACUGUGUGUGUCAUUCGAGAAGGAUCUGCUUGGGCCUUUAUGUGCAGCAAUGCAUGGUUAUAAAGCACUUUUGACAGAAAUGUUUGAUUUUGUCGUGUUCUCAGGUCAAGAAAUACCGGUACAACGUGUGAUCAUUUGUUUCCAGUCAGGGCUCUUGAAUGCACGUUUGUUUGCACAAAAAAGCAAACAUAUCUGCUCACUAAGGCAGAAAAUAAAAUAAAGAUGCCAGUAACUGCAACAACAGUACUGCUACUAUUACUACAUCUCCAUUUGUCCAGAGACAACAAUGAGUAUUUAUUCCAUGAAAUUAAUGACUUGGCUCUGUAUUUUCCUUUCUCUAGAAUAAGAAUUAACAGGGCUUACGUUGUGAUGUGCUUUAUCAGAACAUGACCUCUUCAAAUCAGCUCAAGAAGUCAAAGUAAGUUUAGGUGAAAAAGAACACAAAAGGAAAGGCUGCAAAUGUCAGCAGAUGUGCUGAAAUUACUGUACACAAUGUAGCUGUCGUCAUUUUAGAAGAAUUUCUCAAAUAAAUAUUUCAGAUUUGGGCUUGGCAAAUGAUAUCAUUAGUGGAACGGAGGAGAAAAAACAUGACUAAGACCUACAGAGGUAAGUGAUAAUCCCUAAUCGUGUUCCAGGUAGGGAAUUUCAAUCCUGUUCUCUCCAUCUAAAUAAUAGCUGACUCUUAAACCCCCUGAAACAGACCCUUGUGCCUUACAUUUUGCACUGUGGAGCACUAAAGUUAAAUUCUUUCCCCUUCCUCAGUAAUUACUACAAUCUCAUUUGAGAGUACUUAGACCAAAGAAUAAUCCCUUCCCCACCUUCCUUCCAACCUUGCAGGGUGUGCAGCCAAGCCCUGGCCUUCUCCAUCAUCAGGGCCACCUGUGCAUUCAUCUCCAACAACAACAGAGCACCCUUCACUGCUCUAAAUAUUCCAUUUUUGGAAAGUAAUUUCUCCAACUCUUACAACUGCUCAUUUUUUUGCUUUGAUUUUGAGAUCAGUGAGUUUCAGUAAAAUACGAAGGGAACAUCCAGAUACAAAUGCAGUCCAAGCCUAUUUUCAAAAUGGAGAUACUCUUCCACAAGAGAACGGGACUUUUCAUGCUGUCCCCUGUCCUGGCUCCAUCUCCCAGAACACACGCAAAACAGCCUCCAAAGGACACUGUCCAACACAUCCAAGCCAAAAGGGUGAAGGUCACCCACUGAGGCAACCAAAGGAGGAUAAUGGCGGAGUGGAACAAUCUGAACCCAAGGUAUUUUUAAACUUUAU